GCACCGGUGGUGUAAGCCAACAUCGCUGCCCGGAAAGCAGAAGAUACGGGUUCGAGUCCCGCCUGGCGCA
rnacentral:tRNA from 1 species